rnacentral:lncRNA from 1 species
GAGCCUCACCGGGAGGCUUAGGCAACCUAGAGAGAUACCCUGACAAUCUAAUAGGCUGGUCCCAUUUAGGAACAGCAAGCUGCUGUUGUAUAUCCUUAGGUACAUCAAUCAAAACAGGACCUGGCCUGCCCGAGGUAGCUAAAAAGAAAGCCUCACUAACAAUCCUAGGAAUAUCAUCCACAUCAAGAACAAGAUAGUUAUGCUUUGUAAUAGACCUUGUUACCUCAACAAUAGGAGUCUCUUGGAAAGCAUCCGUACCGAUCAUUCUACGAGGGACUUGACCCGUGAUCGCCACGAGAGGGAUACUAUCAAGCAUCGCAUCAGCAAGACCACUCACCAAGUUAGUUGCCCCAGGGCCAGACGUUGCAAUGCAAACACCGGGAGGCCAGAGGAGCGCGCGUACCCCUCCGCCGCAAAGAUCCCACCUUGUUCGUGUCGUGGAAGGACAUUUCGGAUUAUUUUGGACCGGGUUAAAGCCUGGUGGAUCUCCAUGGAAGCUCCACCUGGGUAGGCAAACACGUCCUUGACCCCUUCACGUUCCAGGGCUUCCACGAGGAUAUCAGCGCCUUUUUGGGGCUCAUCAGGGGCAUAACGGGAAAUAAAAUCAUGGGAAGGGGCUGUAGUUGGGGUGACAGUGGCGGCGGCGGAUCUGGUGUUGGAACUUGACUGAGAAAGAGAGCUGGAAAUGGUGAGGGAACGGGAAGUGGUGAGCUUUCGAGGGGCUGUAGAGAAGGGAAGGAUAGAUUUGGAAAUGGGUAUUGAAGAUUUGAAGGAGGAAGUUAAAGAAGAAGGCGUAGGCAAAAUGGUGUUUGCAGUGGCAGCCGCCAUUGUCGACGAGUGGCUUGUGGCGAGGCUUUUCGUUGGUGAAUGCGGCGAGAUAGAGAGAGGGAAGGAAAUUGUGAUUUAACUUUGAUUUUUACCCAUAUUACUCUUUUGCCCUUGUUGUUUUAUUUAAAACAAUUGGAAAAAAAAAAAAAGUCAAUAAAGAACUGGAAAAUUGCAAAUGCAAAACAACCGCACAAGGCAUGGAGUUUUGAUAUUCAGGAUCCAAUUUUGACUUAAUUUAAUCACAAUUAUAAAAUUUUAAUUAUUUUUAUUUAUAUUUUUAAAAGAAAAAUUAUUUGAUAUAUUUAUCAUAAGUAAAGUUAAGAUGAUGUUACAUAUAUCAUUUCUUUUUAAAAUAUACACUAAUAAAUAUGUGUUACAUAUUAAUUUUAUUUAUAAAAUUAAAAGAUUUUAUUGUAAAUAUAUUUGGUAAUUUAUUUUUUAAAAUUGAUGUCUUUUUAUCAAAAUUUUAAAAUUUAUUUAACAUUUAAUUUUAAGUUACAUUUCAAGGAAAUGUUAUUAUACAAGUUAAUUUAAUAUCAACAAUUAAAGGUAUUUAUAGACUAGGUCAGGUUAGCUUCGAGCCAACCUCAUAUUUGACAUUAAUAAUUUAUAUGUUUGUUUAUGUCUUAUUGAACCCAAAAUUUUUUAUCUCAAAAUUUUUUCAAAUCCAACCUAAAUUAAAAAAGUAAAUCCUAAAUUCACUUAUUGAAUUUAAUUUAUAUAAUAAUUUUUUUAAAUAUGAUUAAAUUAAGUGUAAUGGGAUAAUAUUUAAUUUACACAUAUAUAAAAAAUUUUAAAUUUUAUAUAAAAUAAAAUUUAAGUUUGAUAAAAUAUAUAUAAUUUUUAUUUUUAAUUUAUAUAUAUAUGUGAAUUAAUUUUUAUAUAAUUCACAUAUAUAUAUAAAUAAAUAAUUAUAUAUAUAUGUGAAUUUGAGUCAAAUUGAAUUUGAGUUUUAAAUUUUUUUAUCUAAAAUUCGAUCUAAAAUUUAAAUGACUUAAAAUUUGUGUCCAAAUUCAUUUAAUGGGUUUUGAUUUUUUAACCAAAUUUUCUCAAAUUUUGCAUAAAGCUUUUAAUUUUGACAAAUAGCUUUGUCCUGAAUAGGUAUAUUAACAAUCUUGUAGUUUUUCCAUUUAAGUUAAAAAAAAGCAUAAAUUAUUUUUUUUUUCAAAAAUUGGAAUAAUAAGUAUGUUUUUUCUCUUGUCAUAUGUGCAUUAAUGCAAGAAACAAUAAUGUAUGUGAUAAAAUAUGCAAUUUUACAUAUUAUUAAUAAAUCAUAUGAUAAUAAUUUAUUAAUAAAUAAAUAUACAUAAAAUAAAAUUAUUUAUUUAUUAAUAAAAUAUUAUCAUUAAAUUUAUCUUAUUAAUAAAUUAUUAUUAUUUGAUUCAUUAAUAAUAUAUAAAUUUUAUAUAUUAAUAAUAUAUCAAAUAUAAAUUCAUAUAUAUAUAUAUAUAUAUAUUGGUAUCGCCUCUAUAUUAUAAUGUAAUUUAUUUUAUAGAUUCUUAUAUAUAAUUCAUAGCUUUCUUUUUAUCAUAAAUCUUUAUGCAUGACUAAUAAAUAAUUGAUUCAAUCGAUUAAGGUCGUUCUUCUCGACUAAAAGAUUUUAAGUUCGAGUUCUGUCGAUGAUUAUUUAUUAGGGUCAUCUCGAAUGCAUGAUUUACAGUCACUUAUCUUAAACUGUUAGAUAUAAUAUAUCUUAUCUUGAUUUAAAAAAUUAAACAAUUUAUCUAUCUAAAUUAAAAUAAUAAUAAUAAUAAUAAUCUUAGCCCUCCACUAGCCGCAACUAAUAAAGAGCAUUAAAAAAAUAAACUCGUUCAUCCGCACGUAUGUUUAAUUUGCUUUCCCUCGAUCACGCAUCUUGGCCCUCCCCCUAAUUACAACUAAAAAACAGCAUUAAAAAGAAACUCAUUCUUAAUUUAUGCCAAUUUAGUCUAAACCAUUAGCUUUAAUUCCUAUAUAAAGGAUCUCCAGCUACACUUGGCUACAGACAGCCAUUUUACUACUAGAAAUGGAGUGCAAGAAGCUUGUUUUUCUCUUUGUUGCGAUGGUAUUGGCGGUGGUACUUGUAGCCACGGUAACUCCAACUUGAUUCGCCGCUCGUAAUGAGAAACCCUUUCGCCAGCAUUUUCAUGGUCGGUAAAAGUGGUGGAGACUGCCGCAUUGCCGGUGGCUUUGGCAUGUUUACACCCAUGGAUUGUUGUGGCAGUUGCUGAUGUCUUUAUCCUGCUGAGGUUUGCUUCGGGACAGGCUGCUAAAGGGUUCGCAGUUCCAAAGAAAAAUAAAUAAUAUCAACAUAUUCUAGUCCAAUAAUGAUUUUUUUGUGACAAUGAUUUAACUGUUGCAAAAAGGUUGUUGCUAAUGUUGCCUUUGUGAUUAUGACAGUUGGUAUUUAGUAUAUUUAUUAUCGCUGCCUUGUGAUUUUAAAUUAUUAUAAAUAAAAGAAUAAUUCGUUAGUUUUAAGUUAAAUGUCACCGCUAUCACUUUACUAAUUUGGUACUCUUUACGUUUAUUUAAUUGGCUAUAUAGUUGGGUCAAGAUUCCUUUAGUUAAUCUAUUCUUUUCCAUUGGCAUUUGAAUGUAAAAUAGAAUUUCUUGUUUCGAUUAUAGAAUAAAAAUAAAAGUGAAUGCUUUCAAGGGAAUUUUCAUUAUUUUAAAUUUAAAUCAUAAAAUGACAAAAUAAAAUGACCUAUUAUCGUAACGUGUUCAAAAAAUUUUUUAUUAAUUUGAAUUAAAUUAUUAACAAAAAUAAAAUAAAAUAUAUCAUUGAACAUUUAAUUAUGAUCGUAUUUUUAAAAUAUUCGUUAUCCAAAAUAAACAGAUGUUUAAGAGUAUGAUUUUGUCACGGAUCGAGAAUUUAAGCUUAAUUACCAGGCAACUUUAGACAGAAAACUACCAUUCGUAGACCUAAUUAAGCCUUUAACCAGAUCGAGUGAGUGUGCCACUCCCCAAGGGCUAGUCGGGUCUUAGUGAAGUUUCAAUUCUUCCUGAUGCUUCGCCCUCAUCAUCUUGAGCAAAUCUCGUCAUGUGACCAUCUCAGACUCGUGUGCGGUCCAUGAUAAUUCAGCAUCGGUAACUUGAGCAAUCCGUGAUGAGAUUUGCUACAUUGCCUCCAAAUUAUGAAAGCAUUCAUUAUGCUAUCCUUGGAAAGAAUUUAAGAAAAACAACCAUUGAAGUUUAGAUUCAUCUAUUAACAGUACAUUAUUGACUAAAAGACAUACAAGAUUUGCAUAGGACCAAACAAAAAGCCUGCUUGAUAGAUUUUAAAAGACAGAAAAACUAACUAUAGGGGCAGAAGCAAGUUUCCUCCAUGUCACUGCCACAACUCAAAGCUAAGCCUCCAUAACUGAUCAUACAUACAUUACCAAAAACACAUAUUGAUGGAUGCUCAUUAAAAUCAAUAUUGUGUUCUUCCAUCACCCUCUGUGAUCACAUCUUUAAAAGCCCCUCCGCUAGGGAUCAUAGGCAGGACGUGUUCUUGAUGGGGGACAAUUACAUCUAGUAAGUAAGGUCCGGGAGUGUCCAACAUUUUCUGAAUUGCUGCUCUGAGAUUUCCUUCCUUGUCACACGAGCAGCAGGUAUUCCACAUGCUUCAGCAAAUUUCAACAUAUUUGGGAAUAUUUCAGAUUCAUUAGAUGGGUCACCCAAAUACGUAUGUGCCCUGUUUGCCUUGUAAAAUCGAUCCUCCCAUUGAACAACCAUGCCCAAAUGCUGAUUAUUUAACAACAAUAUCUUAAUGGGAAGAUUUUCCACACGGACAGUCGCCAACUCUUGGACGUUCAUGAUGAAACUUCCAUCACCAUCAAUGUCAACAACAACAGCACCGGGAUUUGCAACAGCAGCUCCAACGGCAGCAGGCAAUCCAAAUCCCAUGGCCCCCAAUCCCCCUGAUGUCAACCAUUGACGAGGCUUCCGAUACUUGUAAAACUGAGCAGCCCACAUCUGAUGCUGACCAACACCAGUGCUUAUAAUCGCAUUCCCAUUGGUUAAUUCAUCAAGAACCUGAAUUGCAUAUUGAGGUGGAAUAGCUUCACCAAAGGUCUUGUAAUUCAAUGGGUAUUUCAGCUUCUGCUCGUUUAACUCCUGCCUCCAAGCUGAAUAAUCGAGUUUAAGCUCAGCUCCCUUACUCUCCAAUAUCCUGUUCACCCCCUUCAAUGCCAAUUUGACAUCUGAACACACCGACACAUGAGGCUGCUUAUUCUUCCCAAUCUCGGCUGAAUCAAUAUCAAUAUGAACAAUCUUGGCCCGGCUGGCAAAAGCCUCAAGUUUUCCUGUCACCCGAUCAUCAAACCUUACUCCAAAAGCAAGUAACAAAUCACUCUUAUCCACAGCAUAAUUAGCAUACACAGUUCCAUGCAUCCCAAGCAUUUGUAAUGACAACUCAUCCGGGCUCGGAAACGUUCCAAGGCCCAUCAAAGUACUUGCAACAGGUAUCCCUGUAAGCUCAACAAACCUCUUCAACUCCUCACUGGAGUUCAAACACCCACCACCAACAUACAACACUGGCUUCUUAGAUUCGGAAACCAACCUCACAAUCUGCUCCAAAUGAGCCUCACCGGGAGGCUUAGGCAACCUAGAGAGAUACCCUGACAAUCUAAUAGGCUGGUCCCAUUUAGGAACAGCAAGCUGCUGUUGUAUAUCCUUAGGUACAUCAAUCAAAACAGGACCUGGCCUGCCCGAGGUAGCUAAAAAGAAAGCCUCACUAACAAUCCUAGGAAUAUCAUCCACAUCAAGAACAAGAUAGUUAUGCUUUGUAAUAGACCUUGUUACCUCAACAAUAGGAGUCUCUUGGAAAGCAUCCGUACCGAUC